AGUGAACGCUGGCGGUAGGCCUAACACAUGCAAGUCGAACGGCAGCACAGUAAGAGCUUGCUCUUACGGGUGGCGAGUGGCGGACGGGUGAGGAAUACAUCGGAAUCUACUUUUUCGUGGGGGAUAACGUAGGUAAACUUACGCUAAUACCGCAUACGACCUACGGGUGAAAGCAGGGGAUCUUCGGACCUUGCGCGAUUGAAUGAGCCGAUGUCGGAUUAGCUAGUUGGCGGGGUAAAGGCCCACCAAGGCGACGAUCCGUAGCUGGACUGAGAGGAUGAUCAGCCACACUGGAACUGAGACACGGUCCAGACUCCUAAGGGAGGCAGCAGUGGGGAAUAUUGGACAAUGGGCGCAAGCCUGAUCCAGCUAUACCGCGUGGGUGAAGAAGGCCUUCGGGUUGUAAAGCCCUUUUGUUGGGAAAGAAAAGCAGCAGGUUAAUACCCCGCUGUUCUGACGGUACCCAAAGAAUAAGCACCGGCUAACUUCGUG
rnacentral:rRNA from 1 species